GUCUAUGGCCAUACCACCCUGAACAUGCCUGAUCUCAGAAGUUAAGAGGGUCAGGCCUGGUUAGUACUUGGAUGGGAGAAAUACGGAAACAGAAGUGAUUUCUUCA
rnacentral:rRNA from 1 species